rnacentral:rRNA from 1 species
GCUAGCGUUGCUCGGAAUCACUGGGCGUAAAGCGCACGUAGGCGGACUCUUAAGUCGGUGGUGAAAUCCUGGAGCUCAACUCCAGAACUGCCUUCGAUACUGAGAGUCUCGAGUCCGGGAGAGGUGAGUGGAACUGCGAGUGUAGAGGUGAAAUUCGUAGAUAUUCGCAAGAACACCAGUGGCGAAGGCGGCUCACUGGCCCGGUACUGACGCUGAGGUGCGAAAGCGUGGGGAGCAAACAGG